CACGUAGGGGGCGAGCGUUGUCCGGAUUCAUUGGGCGUAAAGGGCGCGCAGGCGGCUCGGAAAGUCGGGUGUGAAAACUCGGGGCUCAACCCCGGGCGUGCAUCCGAUACUGCCGGGCUUGAGGCAGGUGGGGGAGAUCGGAAUUCCUAGUGUAGCGGUGAAAUGCGCAGAUAUCAGGAGGAACACCGGUGGCGAAGGCGGAUCUCUGGGCCUGUCCUGACGCUGAGGCGCGAAAGCUAGGGGAGCGAACAGG
rnacentral:rRNA from 1 species